CCUGGCGGCACUAGCGCGGUGGUCCCACCUGACCCCAUGCCGAACUCAGAAGUGAAACGCCGUAGCGCCGAUGGUAGUGUGGGGUUCCCCAUGCGAGAGUAGGGAACUGCCAGGC
rnacentral:rRNA from 1 species